AAACGACCAGCGGAUCGUCCAUGUUUCAAGGAGACAACAACGUUGUCGUCAUCAUCACAUGUACUUGAUAAUAUUCCGUUAAUUAACCUUGAAAACUUGAAGUCAUUGGAUGAAUCCAUUCGCGAUGAGACAAUAGAACUCAUUUCCAAGGCUUGUCGCGAAUGGGGUUUCUUCCAGGUGGUGAACCACGGCGUUAGUCAUGAACUCAUGGCUAACGCACGUGGUGUCUGGCAGGAGUUCUUUCAUCUCCCGCCAGAGGAAAAGCAGAAGUUUGCGAAUUCACCGGUUACUUAUGAAGGAUAUGGAAGCAGACUUGGAGUGGAAAAAGGUGGAAAAUUGGAUUGGAGUGAUUAUUUCUUCCUUCAUUAUCUCCCUGAGCCUUUGAGGGAUGACAAAAAAUGGCCUUCCCUUCCCAUUACAUGCAGGUAAAUCGUAAUUCUUUAAUUUUAACUUUUUUAUAUAGCAUGUUUAAGUCUAUUUGAGAUAUAUAUCGUAAUCUUCUUUACUUUUUUAUACUUACGUAAAAGGGAAUGAAUAUUAAUUAAAAACUACUUAUAUAUACGACUUUACAUAAAGAAGUAAAUGCGUCUGCGCACGUACUUUCUUUAAAUAAGAUACAUAUACGACUUUACACAUUCUCACAUGUUGCGUCGGUGUGUUAAUCAUUUCCUUUUUCUAUUCUCUAUUGACAAAUAUUUUAGUUGUUCAGAGUUACACGCGAUACUUGUUAUUUUUUAAAAUUUAAAUUAUAUAUUAUAAUUCUUCGUUUUAAAAAGAAUGACUUAAUUUUAUUUUGUAUCGAGUUUAAGAAAAUAAAGAAGAUUUUUCAAUUUUAUAAUUUUAAAUUAAAGUUUAUGUCAAAUAUAUCAAAACAUCAUUUAACCGCAUAAUUUUAAACAUAUCACGUGAAAAUCUGAAACUAAAUUGUUGCCAUAAAAGAAAAUGAAUCAUUUCUUUUGGAACAAGCUAAAAGGGAAAAUAUAUGUUUCUUUUUAAACGGAUGGAGUUAAUUUUAAAAUAUUUAUUUAUUCAAUUCAAUUUUAAAUUUAAUCUUAAGAAAAUGAAAUACGACAAAACUGAGAUUGGAUUACUUUUUCAAAGAUUUGGCAUGCACCACCGGACAUGAUGCUGGAUCAAGUUAAAAAAAAUGAGAAAUUUUACUAUGAAUCUCACAUAAACUAUAAUAUUUGUGUGAGACUCUUAAUAAUUGGACAUUUUUAUCUUCCUCCAUUUGUCUACAGAAAGAUAUAUUUACUUCUUUUAAACUCAUAUCAAGUAAAUAUAUAAUAAAUAAAUUGAAUAAGAUAAAGUAUUUUGAAAUUAGAUUGUGAAUGAAAAGAAAAUUGUAGAAUCAAAAUUUAUGGUAUAGAAAGUCCUUUAAUUAGAUUAGCUUUUCGCUCUAAAUUUUUUUACGAUCCAUAAAUUUUAUUUUCCGCUCAAAAUCUAUUGUCUUUUUUUAUUGAAACAAUAACAGUAUAAACUUUAGAGAAAUUGUUGGACUACUAAGAGUUCUUUUAAUUGACUUUCAUAAGUUAGAAAUUUUAGUUUAUGAUUUUUUACCGUAUUUCUUUUUAUCAUUUUAACUUAAAAUUAAAUGCUCAUAAACAUUUAUUUUAAUUUACUUAAACACUCUAAAAAUAUUUUAAAACUAUUCAAAUAAACUCAAAGACUUUAAACUUUUUACACAUGUCCAUCAAAAUCAGCCCCUCACAUAAGCAUAAAAUGACAUGUGAGAAUCAAAACAAUUUUUCUCACGAAGAAUGAUAUUUCAAGUGUCAACAAUGUCUUUUUUUACUACUACAAAAUAUCUAGCUACCCCUUUGCAAAAUGAACAAAAGAUCCUUUUUAAGAGGUCACAAAUAUUUAGAGAUUUUUUAAACUUUGAUAUAUAAAUUAUUACUAAAUACACAAGUAUGACAUUUCUUUUUAAGCUGAUUAACAAGAAAAUGAUAUUAUAUAAAUUGAAAAAAGGGAUACUUCUUGAAAUAAGUUGAUUUUGAUAGCUUCACCCCAAACAGGCCUUAAUGUGGAUGUACUAGCCAUGUGAAAAAAUAUAUUUACAUAAUCAAAUCACGUAAUACUGAUGAGUCAGGUCCAAUUUAUGUUUGGGACCGUGGUCCUGGCCACCUUGGCUAGUUGGUAAAUGCAAGUUGAUGUCUUAUUAAUAGUAUCUUUUUAAAAAAGUACGAUCCUUCUUAAAAACAUGUCAAAUGUGAGAAUAAUAUAAUAUAGUACAUUUUGUCCAUCUAACUGACUUUUUUUUUUUUUUUCCUUUUUGUGAUUUGUGACCUCUUAGGAAAAUAAUUGCUGAAUAUGGACAAGAAGUAGUGAAAUUAUGUCGAAAAAUAACAAAUAUCUUGUCGAUUAACCUUGGAUUAAAUGAAAAUUAUCUACACACAAAAUUUGGUGGAGACAAUGAAAGAGGUGCAUGUUUAAGGGUUAAUUUUUACCCUAAAUGUCCCCAGCCUGACCUAACACUUGGACUCUCUUCCCACUCUGAUCCUGGUGGCAUGACCCUUCUCCUCCCCGACACCGACGUCCCCGGCCUCCAAGUCCGUCGUGGUGAUGACUGGAUAACGGUUAAGCCGGUUCCUAAUGCCUUCAUUGUUAAUAUUGGAGAUCAAAUUCAGGUCUGUAUUCAUAACAUCUAGUAAUCUCAUCAAUAAUAACGACUUUAACUUAUGUAUUGAUAGUGUAAUUUUUUUUGUAAUGAUUGCAUGCAUCAGGUACUAAGCAAUGCAAUAUACAAGAGCAUAGAGCAUCGUGUGAUCGUUAAUUCAGGGAAAGAACGUGUCUCUUUAGCAUUUUUCUACAAUCCAGGAGGUGACAUCCUAAUUAAACCUGCAGAUGAACUUGUGACGGAGGAUCAGCCGGCGUUAUAUUUACCGACGACGUUCAACGAGUAUCGAGCUUUCAUUAGAACCAACGGACCUAGAGGAAAAUCUCAAGUUGAAUCACUAAAAUCGCCAAGAUAAAUGUCCUUUAGCAUGACCCUGAUACGCACAAAACGAGAAAUGAUCCAAUUAAAUUACCUUUUAUAUGUCCUAUAUAUAGUAUUUAGGAAGUUACUGUGUAUAUAUGCCAAUUGGUAAAACAUAACACAGUAAAUACCCUAUGUCCUAUGUGAUGUAAUAAUACAAUAUGUGCUGUCAUAUUCCUAUGUGUUUUCAAAUCUUUUGUCAAAUUCACUUUAAUUUGUUUUGUCAAAUCUUGUAUUCAUCCCUUCAAUAGAUAUGUGGUUCAUCUAAUUAAUACAAUAUUAUGGUAUUAAUUGUUCAUUUUAUGAUCAACUGUUUGAUAAUGGGAUUGGCGUUGGUUCAUUGUUUGUUUUGUAAUGUAAAAAUCACUUACCUUUGCCAAAGUAUCACGAAGUUGCUAUACUAUUUUAUAACAAAAAAGUUACUCAAUUUUUCCUAAAUCCUAGAAAAAAAGUCAUUAAUUAGGAUGAAUCAAAAGAAAUAUUUUAUAUGAUAUGUAGGCAAAGCUGAAUGAUUGUCUUGGUUACCAAAAAAUAAAAUGUUUUAGUAAUUUUCUGUGAUACUUAAGCUAAGUUUAGUGAUUUUUUAUUACUACAACUAAAUUAUUGCAAAGUUACAUAAUGAUUCUUAUGCAAAGUUACAUAAUUUUUCUGUUACAAAACAGAAUAAAAAUUUAACCACUCUCAUGUAAUAAAAUAAAAAUUGAGCAAUCGUUUCGAAAAUUAUCCAUUAAUUGUUCUCCCUUACAACUUCUUUCACCCUUUAAAAAGAAUCAAUAUAUACGUCAAUCAAUUUCAUUUUGAUAUCGAUAUUUUGUUAAUUUCUCAAUUUGUUAGUAGUAAACUUUAACAACUCAAGUUAUCUAGUUAAACACGUAAUUAUAAUAUGACGUUCACUUAAGUCAAAUUCAUCAGAUAAGAUUCCAUUUUGACAUAUUAUAAACGAUAGCAUAAUAGUUUUUAUCCUUAAUUUCUUCCAAAAUAUGUCUACAUCGUAUUUUAGUUGUUAAUUUACGACUCCUAAAAAAGGUAAUCAAUAGUUGAUAGGAUAAAUUUAUAAUGUUGAAAGUGUAGGGACUCUCACUAGGAAAUCCACAAGAUAACAUCUAGAAGUUUGAGUGGAGGUAACAAUUUGAAAUUGACGCUCUCUCCCAAUUUCAAUUUGUUUGUUUUUUAACUAUGUUUAAAAAAGAAAUUAAAAAAAAUGGCAACUUUAUACCACUAGACAGAAUAUCUAGCGGCCUUUUAUUAAAAGAUAAAAAAAAUGUUUUAAAAAAUAUUUGUUUUCCCUUUUGGAAACUUUUCAAAUUUAACUUUUCAUAGAUGUUUAAGUGUUCGUUUGGAUUAAUUUAUUUUUAGAUGUUUUUGACUUUUAAGAAUUUAAUUUUUUUAAUUUUGAAGGUGUUUGGAAAGGUUAUAAAGUGUUUUUAAGCACCCACUAAAGUCAAUAGUAGGAUACCAUCUACUUAUGACUACUUUUUAUAAGCCCAUCGAAACAGACCCUAAGACCACAAAAGUAAAGAUAUUUUGGUGCAUUCUACGUAUCUUUAGUUUAAGAUCAUAAGAUAUAAAAAUCUUCUUUACUUUCUUAAACGUCGUAUCAAGUUAAAACCAUAAAAAUAAAUUAAAACGGUCACUACUUGAAACAAUGAUAUUUCCGGCAUAAAUAAGUAGAAAAUUUGUGGUAUAAACAUUUUUUUUUUACUAUUUUCCAUCGAACCAAUUAAUUAGAAAAAUACACAAUAAAAAAUAAAUUCUUACUAAAAUAGCGGAAAACUUGCUGAUUUUUCAUAUGAUGUUAAAUUUAGCGAAAAAGUAGUAAAUUUUUUAGUGGUGAGUGGGAGUUUAUAGUAGUAGUUGCAAGUCAUAUUUGUUAAUCUAUAGUAGACAAUUUAGGUACUACACCACAUUUACUAGAGUUGUCAAGUACAACACAUCAUAGUACAAUUAGAUGCAAGUUUUAGUGAUAACUAAUUACCUGCCACCGACAGAGUGGUAUAGCGGAUGAGACUAUUUUCUCCUUAAUUAAAAGUUUUGAAUAUAAAAAAGUCUUUAGUAGAGAGUGUUUUCCCCUAAUGGAGCUCUACACAAUGUAAAUCUAAAAUAAUCGAGCUCCAAUUCAAAUAACAAACACCGAAGGAGAAGAGAACUAAUUACCUAAGCCAAACAUAGUGGCCUUUGAAUUCCACCACACAAUAUCUUUUACCAUGUGUAGCACAUUUGGUUUGAAUUGUAUAUAGCCUACUCACUAGUGACCACUUACUAGUUACGAGUCAAGGCAAGACUCCGUGAUACAUUAAAAGGAGUUCUAAUUGGAUAGUGCGUGCCUAUGUGCCUUUUAAAUUAUAAUAUGACUUUUCUACGCCUUUUAAAAAUAAUUUAAUAAAUGCAUAUAUAGAAAUAUAUUACAUGUGCUUUUGGGAUUUUGUUUGGUUAAAACGUGAUUCAAUAUAAUUCAAAACUAAACAAAAAGUGCGGGCGCACUGCAACAAACUAAGUUAUGGAUAUUUAUAAUCAUAUUUUGUAUAAAUAUCAUUAAACGAUUUAUUAGCAACUCUGGAUAUAAUGUUAUGAUUAUGCGUAAAACAAAAUAUUUUUAUCAAAUAAUCCCCACACAAAUUAGAAUAGAGGAAGUACUUGAAAAGGUUGAAGAAUCAGUAUUAAUUAAAUUUUUUAUUUCAAUUGAGUCGACAUGUCUAUUUUGAAAUUUAAUAUAAGCUAAGCAAAAAAAAAAAUCGAUAAAGUUAAUUGAUAUACAUUGUUAUUCGCAUGAGAUGAAAUCUACCAUUCUUAUAGUAAGGUAGUAGUCAAAUAAUUAAACAUUUUGAUAAUUAGUUUGAUAGAAGUACUAUUAAUUAAAAUUGGUUAAAUACACAUGACGACAUCUUAAGUCGCUACAUUUUUUUAUUCAAAGAUUUUAAAUUCUUAACAUAGAUGUAGUAAGUCCAAAGUGUACCAAUCAGAUCAGGGGCGGAUCUACAUGGAUCCGAGGGGUUCAUCCGAAUCCCCUUCGUUGGAAAAAUUACACGGUAUAUAUAGAAUCAAUUUUUCGAUUUAUAUGUAUAUACCAAGUGAUGAACCCCCUGAACAUAAGCUAAGGUGCUUGGUUCAGUGGUAAAGGGGGUUCAAGAAUUUGCACUAUAAGUGCUGGGUCGCGGGUUCGACUCCCUGUAACAGCGUUUUUCCCCCAUAUUUCAGCCGAUUUUCAUUUAAUUUUCGAAAUAAAUGAAAAUUUUGUUUUGUUUGAAAACCUAUUGAGAUUUAUACUAUUUUAUUAGAUAUUAAAAAAUAAAUUUAUUUUCCAUUUUUAUAAAAUUAAGUAAACUUAUAACGUUGUUUUCAUAAUUAAAAUUAAAAAUACAUUCUCUCAUACUCAUUUUAAGUCAAACGUUUAAUUUAUAUUUGAUUAAGGAAUAAUAUAAUUAUAAGUAAGAUUAAAUAAAUAAGAGUAAUCAUUUAAAAUUUAUAAAUAAAUGCAAUUGUCCCGAUAUUUUUCAAUCUUGAUAAUUAUUUUCUCGACGCGAAUUUUAUUGCUACAAUAUGAUUGGAUUUAGAAGUAUUCCUUAGUUAGUUUCAAAAAUUAAAUAACGUUUAUAUACAACAAUGACAGAGACAAGACCCAUAUAGUUUUAAAAAAUACAUUCUCUCAUACUUAUUUUAAUGUUAUGUCAAACAUAUACUUAUUCGAUUUUAUUGUUUGUGUUGAGGUAGAGUUGAAUUUUUUUAGUUGCUUAUAUCUGAUCCGACUCAUUUAUACUUGACCCGCCCCGCCCACCCCGCUUAUAUGAAUACUAAUAAUGUGCUUACUUAUGUUUUUGAACCCCUCAAUGAAAAUCCUGCAUCCGCCACUGAAUCAGAUAUUGUAAUAGAAACCUAUAUAUUUUAAAUUCUAAAUCCGUCUUUAAAUUCAAACGUGUUUCAAAUGUCUAAUAAAACACUUAAAAGAGAUCAACGUCAAUAGUGUACUACAUAGCAACAACACAAAUGUUAAUACAGAAAUUGUACAACAUUUUUCAUACAAUUAAAACCAAACAUGAACAUGUUUCUUCCUGGCAAUCCUAGAGUCCUUUUUAAGUAGAAUUCAAAGUUAACCUUAUAGAAAAAUUGUUUUGUCUCACCAGAAAAGAAUUAGGCAAAUAUAUACUACAACCAAUGAGGAGUGGUACUCCCUAAUAGAAACAAAGUUUUUUUCCAUCGUAAAAUAAUGAUAAAUUUGUGCUAUAAAACAUGAUUCUUCCCAUCAUUUCCAGUACUGAACCAACUCACUAGAAAAAUGCAUGGUGUGAAACAGUUUCUCACUGAAAUAGUGGAAAACUUCCUAAUUUUAUCAUACAAAACAUUUAGUCUUUUUUUUUUUUUCAAACUAAUUAAAUCAAAAUAUCAAUGGAAGUAGCUGGUGAACAUUUUUGUGUGGCUGCAUUAUAUAUAGUGCAGUAGCAAGUUUUGACACAUUGUUUUUGGCAAUCCUUUCAAUUAUUGAAAGAAAGGCAAUAAGAAUUAAGAUCACUUUAGUCUUUUGUAUGUAGGAAAUUAAUCAAAGUGAACUUUAUUACUUGUGGAUUGUUUGCUUGACUAAAACAAGUAUAAGAACAUACCACUAAAACAUGAGUAAUUUUUAUGGCUUAGAGAAAACAUGAAGUUACUCAAUUCUAUCACAUUUUAUUUUUAUUUAAUACUUCAAACAAUUAUGUGUGGCAAUAUGCCCAUAUUUGCUACCUAAAAUGGUCCUGCUUAUAGGAAAGAAAUUGUAUAGGUUAAUUCUCUCUCACUUUUGUUCGUCUUGAUCAGCUGCUUUUUGUUGGAGGUUUAGAAACUUGGUCCAUGUCCCCAUCCACCGCCGAAAUCAGAAAUUUCGUUAAGGGUGUCCAAGAUUUAAUAUAUAUAUUGACGAAGAUGUCCGACUGACCACUUUAAGCUAUGUGUGGCUACGCCACUAUCCCCCUCCAACGUUUUUUUUUACCUUUUUGUUUUUUUGAAUAAGUAGACAUGAUCGGGUCAAGCUUAAAAAAUAAUAAUUGCACUAGUUGUUUUUUACCCUCUUUUAUCCUAUGGAUUUUUAUGAGAUAUCCAUCAUAUGUGCUUCAUGACUCUAUGUGUUUGUUUGGUCAUGCUAUAUGAAAUCAUGAUUUGAAAUUAUGAUAGGCAAUAAAAUUGAUAUAAAGUUGAAGUUUUGUUUAGACAUACAAUUUGAAUUUGUUAAGUUGUAUUUUUUUUUGUAAUUACCAUGAAAAUCCCACAAAUUUUGAAAACUAUCAAAAUUUUCUCAAUUCUUAUAAAAUCUUAUCAAAUGAGCAAACCAUAAUUGAUAAACAAGAUGUAGAGAUAUUCAUAAACAGGAUAUAGGAUUACUCCCGGUUCAUUUUUACACAAAUACCCGAUUAGAUUUAAUAUUCACUUUUUUCUAGCCGAUAUAUAUAUAUAUAUAUAAAAGUUAUAUAUCGAUUAUACACAUGUUAUACAUAUAUUAUACAUCUAUCAUCUAUAUUUUGGUUUCCGUAUACAUAUCUAUUCAAUUAAUCAUAUGUAACCUUCAAGUUGUCUAUGAAUGAAUUGAUUCUUAAAGCUAAAGGAAGUUAAAAUUUAAACAAAAUCAUUAUUUAGAAACAAAAAAUGUAAAUAGAAACUUACCUUGCCCCUAAUGGCCAUUUCUACCCCAACACCUGCCACUAGCUAUGUUUUUCCUUCCUUUUGUUUAAUAUUCAUAUUAGGGACCUGACUAAUCCAGAUUUACAUAGCAUAAGGUCCAUUUAAGGAGGACGUGCUCUUUUAUAUGAUUUCUUUUCUAAUUAGAACUCGAACAUUAAUUCGAUACCUUUAAUUAAAAAUUAAAAAAAUUGAUCCAUCCUAUCACAAUCCUAAUUGAUCCAGCUAUCGUCUUUAUUUAUUUACUUGUUGGGGAAUGAGUUCUUCAAUGCGAUCCUAGAAAUCUUUUCUACUUCUUGUAUGAAUGGGAACUCUUUCUUCAUUAAAAUUUUAGAAUAAGUUUUCAGGAGUCAAAACCAGGUGGGUUGAAUUAAUUAAGGGAAUUUUAGUAUAUAGUCGUCCAAUAAAAUAAUAGCCAACAAAUAUAUAUAUUUUGUAUAAAUAGGAUAUAAAUAUAAUAUACAUGUUUUAUACUCUCUCCUUCCACUUUUAAUUGUCAUGAUUUUCCUUUUUAGAGUCAAACUAUAAGAUCUUUGACUAACAUUUUACGAUUUAUUUUUUCAUCAUAUUGAUAUGCAAAAAAUUGCAAUUUAUAGUACAUUUCGUAUAGUUCUUGAAUAUCUAAUUUUUUGUUUAAAAUAUCAGAUUAAUGUAAUCUAAUUUAAAUUUAAAAAUUAGUCAGAUUGACUUUCGAAAAGCAUAACAUGACAAUUAAAAGUGGACGGAGGAAGUCCGUAAUUAGUGAAUAUUAUUUGUAUAUUUAACUAGCAAUUAUAUUAAGUUGGACUAGCGGCAAAAUGUGAUAAAAAUACAUUAUUAAAGGUCAAAUAUGUUUAAUCAAAUAUUUAAAGCUGAUAAUAAUUGUGAACAAAAUUUUCGAAGCUCAUUAUUUAAAGAAGAUAAACCCGGUUCAUCAAUUUAUUGGAUGUAACCUCAAAUUGAUUAGGCUUUUGUUUCAAAUUUCAACUAAUUUAGAACAGAUUUGAGGGAGUUGAUUUGGAAUUAUUUUCAGAUUUCAAAUAAGUAAGAAAUGAGUUUUGUAGCAGAAUUGGUGUAUAUAUGUGUAUACCACGCAUGUAUAUUUGUGUAUCUCCCGUGUAUCAACAUAUAUAAUUCAUGUAUAUAUGUGUGAUAUACAUGUACAUAAUACAAGAGUCUGAUACACCGUGUAAGAUCCUCAAAUCAAAAUCAACCCCAAGUACCAUUCGCAGUCCAUUUUCGUUGUGGGAACGGGAUCAAAGAAAGGUAGUGUGCUUCUCUUCUGACCACAUUGAUGUUUUUUCAAUUCGAUUUCAGCUACGAAUUUUUACACUAGUUCAAAUCACCUUCAAUCCUGCUCAAAUAACCUUCAGUUCUUCAAUAUCAUUAGUAUUUUUUUAUUGGCAAGAAAAAAAGAUAAAUAUUUAUCUAUGACUAAGUGUCUGGAAGUUUUUUUAUUUUUCUGAUUUGUUCAUGUAAAUGUCUCAUUUUUCAACCAUAAUUUGAGAAAUUUCACAAUCAAUCCAAUCUGAUAAAGACGGGCCUAGAACCGGCCCAUUCUUUGUAUUGCAAUUAUAUUUUUUGGAAAAUUGUAUGAAAUAGCAAAUUAUUAAUUCAAAUUAAAUGUUAUAGCCAUAGUUUCUUUUAUUUGUAAUUCACAACAAACAUUCCAUGUUUUUUGUCAUCCCAUUUGUCUACCGAAAUAUACAAAUAGACCGAAAUAUACAAAUGCAUGACCCAUUUAUAUACCGAACUAUACAAAUGCAGGACCCAUUUGUAUAUCGAAAUAUACAAAUAGACCCAAAUACAUAUUUUUUUAUGUAUAUGUAUACCGAAAUAUACAGAUUAAUAGCCAUAGCAAACAUAAAGUUUGCUAUGGAGCGCAAUUAUACAAACUAUAGCUAUAACAUACAAAUAUGAUUUUUAUGUCUGAUAAACCUAAAAUUUACUCUAUCUUUUUUCUUAGUAUAUAUAAUUGACUAGAUAUUUCCUUCGUUAAUAGUUUAACUCACAUAUGUCCAGUGUUCUUAUCGUUCAACACUUGAUCUAAAUAUGUCUUUAAUUUAAUUAUUGGAGACUCAAUUUAACCUAAUUAGCUCAUUAAUAAGUAAAACAAAAAGGAUCAAAUAUACCAUUAACUUAUGCAAAUUUGAGUAGAUCCGUCCUUAAUUGAUAUUUAACAUUUCUCUAAUAUCGACAAAUUUUACAUUUCUUUUCUACCGGUGUUUAUGAAACAACUAAAAACAAACACCAAUUUUUAAGUCUAAAUAUAAAUAGUAUAGCUUAAUUUAAUAUUAUUAUUUUCUUAUAUAUAAAAAUAAUUUAUUAAUGUAACAAACGUUCAUAUCUUUAACAAUGAAAAUUAUCAUUUGUAAGUAUAUAAUUUAUUUUCUUUAGUUUUUGAAUCUUUUUUUUACCAUCGAUUCACAUUAUACUCACAAAUCAGUACUCACUUUACUACACUUAUAUCUUAUAUAGCGACUUUUAAUCAUGUUAAUUAUAAAAAUAAAAAGCAACAGAACUUGCCUAAAAAAUUUAAUUAUAAAAUUCAAAUCAAUAUUUUUUCUGAAUAGCAACAAUAUCUUCUAGAGUCACUUUUUUGAGCGAAGAAAAUAAUAGUGGCAUUAAAAAAAUAAGUUGCCGUUCCACUAACAUAGAACAAUUGUAGUUAUGAGGUAAUAAAAAGGUACAAGGUAUAAUCAUCUUGGAGUUGUUCAAAACUUUAGAAUUCUUUUGGAUUAACUAGACACACAUACAAUUUAGGAGAAGCUCCGUAAAUUUGACAUAUUUUGCUGUUAUAUAUAUUAUUAUUAUUUAUAUUUUAAAAUGUUAUGUUUUUUUUUUUAAAUUAAGAGUUUCUUAUCAUAUAUUGAAGAAGAUACACUUAAAUACAUGUAUUUUUUGCUAUCAGAUAUAGUAAAUAGGGAGAGAGGCAAGCGAGAUGAGGAGGGCGGUGAGCGAGAUGAGGAGGGCGGCGAGCGAGAUUUGUUAUAUAUCUCAGAUACAUGUGAAUUAGACUAUAUACACACUAGAUACAUGUAUCUGUAUUUAUUUGAUGUGAUUCACAUUAUCUGAGAUACCAGAUACAUAAGAGAGUGACGAACGAGAUGGGAGAGAGGCGAGAGAGAUUUAUUAUGUAUUUCAUAUACAUGUGAAUUUACUUGGAUAAAAUGUAUCUAGAAUAAAUUACACAUAAUUUUGAACACAUAUAUUCGGAAAUACAUGUAUUUGAAUGUAUCUGAACAUAUUUGGACGCACCAAAAUAUGAUAGGAUACAUAAUAUUGAAAAUUAGAGCGUAUCUAAUUAUUCAGCUCCUAAACUAAUAGUAUUUACGAAACUUUCCCCAAAAUUUAUCUAAUUCUCUAGAAGGCUUGACAAGAUAACUACACAAAUCACAUUCUUUAGUUGCCCUAAUAUUUAUCCUCGUCUUUCUUCUUCCUACAUUUUCUUCCUCCUUUUUUUUUUCUUUUCUUCUUUUUCAAACUUCCAUGACUUUAUCACCAUAUAUCUAUUUUAUUUUCCAACAUAUUAUUCUAUUGUAAGGUUCAUUUCCCACCUUGUAAAAGUGGGAAUUAAGUAUAAGGAAAUGUCUCUAUCCUUUUUCUAAAUCUAAUACAUAAUAAUAUAAUAAUAGUAAAGAUGCAUGGAUACCUCAACUUGAUUUUUUCGGCUCAAGAUUAUGUGAACUUAUGUUGUCAUGCUACAUGCACCAUUCAAGUUUAUCAUAUUUAUAUAUAUGAGUAGGUACAUAGUUAUGAACAUCAAAUAGUAUAUCAUAUUAGUCAUUAAAUAUACAUUUUUAGCAACAAUUAAUAGUGAUAAUUAUAUUUUAGCACUAUGUUGUUAAAGUCUAGCGACAUAAAUUUAAUGAUAAUUAACUAAUUAAUAACAAUAAAGACUUUAACAUUUUAUUUAUUAAUAUGAAUAUUUAUUACCGCUAAAAUCAUAAGUGUAAUCGAUUCAUCAAAUCGCAAAAAGAAAUGAAAUACUCAUAGAUCACGUACUCAUAUAUAAAAAUAAAAGGCCAAAUAAAAAUAUCAAAAAAGUUGAGUAAUUAAAUAAAUAUUAAAAAUAUUGCAAGGAGAAAUAUUGUUGUGUAUGUCGGUCAAACAUUGUUUAAAGGACAAGACGACAUCGACGAUGAUUUCUGCUUUCAAACUGAAAUUUGUUUCUGACACUAAAGUUUCUGUCAUAAUGCGUUGUAUCAUCAUGCUGCAUGUGAACUCUAUUUUGGGCCACUUUUUCUCUUUCUUUUUAGAUUUAUUACGUUAUGAAUUUAAAUAUAAUAUUUAAUUUGAUUGUUAUUUAAAUUUUAUUAUAUUAGAGUAUUGUUAAAUUUAUUGUCGGAUGAUGAUGAAAAGUUUUAUUUUAGGUACAAUUAUUAUCAUGUUAUUAUUUUUUUAAUUUUAUCUUUACUUAUUAUUUAAUUAUUUUAUUUUAUUAUUUACUCUGUCGUUUUAUAUAGGAAAAAUUAUCUAAAUACAUAACUUAUUUUAUUAUAUUUUCUAAAAUUCUUUACCAUUUGAAAAAAUUAGAAAAAUUGCUACUCUGUCGUAUUCUCAGAUACAUCGCUCUUAUGCGAUGUAAGGGACGCAAUGUAUGUGUCUUGUCAACAAAUUAGGUAAUGUAUUGAGAUGAGAUGUAUUGAGACGUUGAGUGAUGUAUCGAGACAUGUGUGUCUUACAUCAACAAAGGGACGUAAUGUAUCGGGCGUUGAUUGAUAUAUUUGAAAUCCUUAAAUUUUAAAGGAUUUUGUAAUUUGAAAAAGAGUAGGGAUAAGAUGUAAUUAGCUCUUAACACUAUGAUAUUUAUGAAAACUAUAUAUAUAUAUAUAUAUAACGAUACAUUAUGAAAUAAUAUGUAAUAACUAUAAUGAAACAUAUAAGACAACAUAGUAGCUCCUAAAUUUAAAUUGACUAGCUUAUAUGUGGACGCCCUAGCAAAUAUUGGAAGAGGUAAUCCAUUUAUCCACGAUUUAACAUAUUUAAUCCAUCUAAAUAUUACUCUAGUGAGAAAUCAAAUAAAAAAAACACUUGAAAUGACUUUAUAGAAGUGAGAAUCUAUUUUAUAUAUGAUCAAAAUUUCUAAACAAAAUGCAUAUACGUAAAAUGAUAAAAUCGUGGUGUCGACAUGGAAAAAAUGCAAUAGUUACUCCUCGUUCUUGAUAAUAAUGGGAACAAGGCUUACACUUGCAAUCUUAAUUUUGAAAAUUGGAUGGAAACAAAAUUUAUUCUUUUUUUGCGGAAAUUAUGCAACCCUCUUUUGUCUUUUAUUUUUUAAUAUCAAUAGAAGUAGGCUAUAAUAUUUCACAUUGGGUGUGUUUGGUACGGAAGAAAAUGGUUUCCACGGAAAACGUUUUCCGCAAAAAACUGGAAAAUAAGUGAGUCUUUUUUUAAUAUACAUUUUCUAGUGUUUGGUUAGUAAGAAAAAAAAUAUUGUCCUAAGAACAUUUAAGUAUGGUCAGGAUACCAAACCCGAACUCCCACUGUUUAACACAUAAUCAGACCUCUAUCCUAACCACGACAUCGAUCUGAGACACGACCCUGAACCCUACCUCGACUCGGGAUGCGACCUCCAACAUUGAUCUUGACCUUGACCUCGACCCUGAUUCAAAAUUUGAUCCUCAACCCAACCCUGACCUAACUCAACCCGAGACCCAAUAACUAACCCCAUCCACGAUCCAGGACAUGAUGCUAACUCGAGACCUAACCUCGAACCUGAUACCAAACUGAGUUUAAGAUACCUAACCCCAAUACCUGACAUUAACCGGCCGAGUCGGGUCGAGUUGGUUGGGGUAGUACCAGGUUGAGGUUGGUCAGGAGUCAGGUAUCGAGUGGGGUUUUGGAAUCGGUCUUGAGUCGAGACCAAGACUUGGGUUUGGGUCGAGAGUUUGGUUUAGGUCCACUCAAAAGUCGAGUUAAGGGUUAGUUCCUAAAUUGGGGUCAGGGAUCAGGUCUCAGAAUGGGAUCGAGGGGUUGAUCAAGGUUGGGUCCCGAAUCAUGAUUGAGAGUUGAGUCCCGUGUUAGGUUUGGAUGUUCAAUGGAAACAUGAUUUUCUUACUUUUUGUCGAAAAAUUAUUUAAGAAAAAUAAGUCUAUUUAAAAAUAUUUUUCAAAUGUUUAAACCGAUCAAAUAAGAAAAUCAAAAACUUCCUACCAAACCACCAUAAUUUACACUACCCACUCAUGCGUCAUGGCUCUCAUUCCAAUAAGCACGUGUGUGAGUGACAAAAUAGGAAAGAAGAAGAAGAAGAAGAAGUAAAGACCAUCACGGAGCCGUAAUUUAACUCUGUUUUUUUUCCAUAUACUUAUUACUUUCUUUUUUAGGCGGUCUCAAAAAAAUAUAUUUUUAUAUUAAUUAAUAAUUUAAUUUUAAAAUAUUUAUUUUAUUCUUAAUGAAAUAAUUUAUAGUUACAUUAUAUCAUUAUUUUAGAUUACAAAUUUCUAAGGUCAUCCUUUCUUUUUUUUAAAUUAUAUAACGAGUCAAAUUAAUUUAUAUAAAAUGAGAAUGAGGAAAUAAUAUAUUUAAGAUAAUCAAACUCCUUAUAAGUCACAAAUCUUUAAUAUAUUUUUUCUUGUAUUUGUUCUUUAGCGUGGCAGUCUACCCUCCACACAAUGCAAUAUAAAAUAUAGUCUUAAAAUCGAUAAUUUGACACAAGUGGUGGGGUAUAGUAUAUCAUAUAUCAUAUCAUGUACUCUUAUAAUAAAAAAUAUCUUUUCAGUCCUAGUUCUUCUACCGUACAUUGCCAAACAACUUGUUCAUUAUAACCUAUAGUUUUUUUUUUUAACUUAUUACUUCCUCUGUCCCAUUUUAUAUGACUCACUUUCCUUUUUAGUCAGUCUCAAAAAGAAUGACACAUUUCCAUAUUAAGUAACAAUUUAACUAUGAAAUGUCUAUUUUACCCUUAAUGAAAUAAUUUACAGCCACACAAAUUUCUAUCAUUCAUUUUGGACCACAAGUUUUAAAAGUCUUCUUUUCUUUCUUAAACUCCGUGCCGAGUCAAACUACCUCAUAUAAAAUGGGACAGAGGGAGUAUAAAUAUUCGUCUAGUCUAGUCUCUAGACCCAUACAUCUCAUAUUUCUUUCCAAUCGACAAACUACAAUUAAGAUUCCUCGUGUAGUAGUAGUACACAACAAAUAAACUACAACUUAAUAUAGCACAAACCCCAACAUCCCAUGAAAUUCACGUUUCUCAACUAAUAGCUAACGCUAAUUUUGCUUCUUUUAAUCAUUAUCCCACCUUGUCCACAACCAACAAAACUUUGUACUAUAAAUAGUUAGCAGUAUUGAACAAACGAUUCGAUCACUACAACUUAAUAAUCAUGAGCCGGUUACAAAGUUGGCCCGAGCCGAUUAUUCGAGUUCAUGAACUGUCCGAAAGUGGCAUUAAGAAAAUUCCCGAAAACUUCGUGAAGCUCCCAUCGGACAGGCCAAGUGAGAUGACAACGUUGUCAUCAUCACAUGUUGAUAAUAUUCCGUUGAUUGACCUUGAAAACUUGAAGUCAUCGGAUGAAUCCAUUCGCGACGAGACAAUGGAAAUCAUUUCCAAGGCUUGUCGCGAAUGGGGUUUCUUCCAGGUGGUGAACCACGGCGUUAGCCAUGAACUUAUGGCUAACGCACGUGGUGUCUGGCGGGAGUUCUUUCAUCUCCCGCUGGAUGAGAAGCAGAAGUUUGCGAAUUCGCCGAUUACUUAUGAGGGUUAUGGAAGCAGACUUGGAGUGGUGAAAGGUGCUAAAUUGGAUUGGUGUGAUUAUUUCUUCCUUCAUUAUCUUCCUGAGAAAUUGAAGGAUGAGAAUAAAUGGCCUAGUCUUCCUAUUUCAUGCAGGUGAACUUUAAUAUUACUAUUAUUUUUUUCGAUCUUAACGUGUUGAACUGUGUGACCAUUUUGGUUAUAAUAGCGUGAUUUUAUUUAUUUUUACAUAAAUUGGUGGUGGGGAGACUCGAACACGGGACCUAUAUGUUAGCUUCGAUAUCAUGUUGAAGUGUGUAAUCUCAUAGAUCCAAGAAAAAUUAGUGGAUAGAAAUAACACACUUUUAUUUACUUAAUUACUGAUAUAGUACCCCCC
rnacentral:lncRNA from 1 species